rnacentral:rRNA from 1 species
UACAGAGGACCCGAGCGUUGUUCGGAUUCACUGGGCGUAAAGGGUGCGCAGGUGGGUUUGCAAGUUUGAUGUGAAAGCCCCGGGCUUAACCCGGGAAUGGCAUUGAAUACUGCAGAUCUGGAGGAUUGGAGGGGGGACUGGAAUUCUUGGUGUAGCAGUGAAAUGCGUAGAUAUCAAGAGGAACACCAGUGGCGAAGGCGAGUCCCUGGACAAUACCUGACACUGAGGCACGAAAGCCAAGGGAGCAAACAGG